AUAAAGCUACAUGGUGGACGCUAAUUGUCAUAUUUUGACCGACAAAUCUGUUUGAAUAGAUUAUACAAGAUUGAUGUGAUUAUCAGAUGAUUGCAGUCUACCCCAGGGUGAGUUUAUCCUUUUGGUUUAUGCAAAAAUGCUUAUUUGGCUUCAUGUGUAACAUGAUUUUUUAGCAUCUAAUAUUUGUUCUGUCCAACAGAGUACACGAGAAAGAAGUGCUACUGCUACAUUACUGCUGCUUGCCAAGGGAAAAGAGAGUUCCAUUGUAAAAUGAGAUGCCAGGUAUUGAGGGCUAGACUGUACAUGGCAAAGAUUAAUUUGUUAUGGUGAAGCCAAAGCUUUAGUGUUUGAGUCAUUGGGUGUCAUCUUUGUUAACUUAUUGUUAAGCAUAUCUACUAUGUACUUUGUCCCACAUAAAUGAUUGAGAAAAACUCUGCUUUUUAUGACAUCAUGACUCACUGUCAUUUCUAAAUAUUUGAAUCUUAUAUUGAUGUUUCGACCGUGGAUGCCAAAACAUCACAGUUUGCCUGAUAGAGUGAAUCCAUUAUAAAAUAAAGCUCCUUCCAUCAAUUAGAUAGAUUUUAUGAAUUUGAUUUUUCUAUUUUGAAGAUGCAUAUUGGUUAUUUGGAUGCUUUCGUUUAAAGAUUUGCAUAGAUCAAUGAGGAUUCGUGCGGCAGGGAGGGGACUGGUGAUAGGAAACAUGGGUCCAAGAAGAAAUCAAAGAGCAUGGUGAGUUGUUCUCCCUUUUGAAAUUUAAAACCUAGACUAGAAUCAGUCAAUUGUAAUUUGGCAAUAUGAUUAGGAUAGCAUAAUAUUUUGCUACUACCUUGCUAAUAGCUUCGCGAGGUAAUUAUGUCAGCUAUAUAUGUGUUUAUUUUUUACUGUAGUGAGAUCGCUUAUUUUAAUUUAGAAAAUAGAAACAUGAAGUGUGGUUAUGAGAAUCUAAUAACAGAUGUUCUUAGCAUGAACAAGCUCUGUAAUGUACCUACUGACUAAUAGCACAAUCGAAUCCUUCCUGAGCUUCGUCAGCCAGUCAUGACUUGGCAUGCCUGGUUUUACUUUACGAAGAGUAGUAUGUGGUGCUCUAAUAUUCAACCGUGUUCUUGAAUUGGGAAUUAUGUUUAUAAUAGUUGAAGUGCUUGUGUUUUAGUCUGUUGUAUACAAGUGAAAGAAAAUAAAAAACGGAUGGAGGAAGGGAACUUCUGCUUUUCUUUUCCUUUUGUUUCUCUGUUUGAUAAUUACUCCCUGUGAUGGGAAGGUUUGAGAAUAGAAACGUCCUACUCUUUUAUCCCUUUUAGUGUGAACGGCUCGACGGCAAGCGUGGCUAUCUGCUCCUCACUCUAUUGGUUGUGUCUCUGUCUUCCCCGUGCGCUGCGCCACACGCCUAUUUGUGGCUUGCGUGCUGCUGCUGCGUUUAUGGUGUGUUGUCUUGAUGUGUGUGUGUGUGCACUAGCUAAGCGACGAUCACUGGCUCACUUCUCUCUCUCUCUCUGUCUCUCUGUAGCUUCUUAGGGAAAACAUACUUUUCCUCUCGCCUGGAUCAUGCUUCUAGCAUCUUUCUAGGCAGGUAGAUGUUUCCAAGAUCAAGAGAGAAAAGGUUCUUGCAUGUAUAUACUUUUAGGUGACACAUGACCAGAAGUCUUUCCUAUGAAAAUCAUGUGGUCUUGUGACGCCCCGACCCUUUUCUUCAGAAAUUUGCGAUGUGUUUAUGCAUGUCUGUGUUGUGAUGUGCUCAUGUGCAUAUGAGCAUGAUUUGUUCUGGCACUUUAGGCAUUAGCACACCUAUAAUACCAUUUUCUAAUAUCUGACAUUUGUAUAUUUAUAUUGGCUGCGCCUAGCUUUUGGGAUAUAAUUUUGAAGGGUAUUCUUCCCAUAUGAUCAGUUCUGCGACAUGCACUCAUUUUUACUGCGAUGAAUGGUGUCUAAGUCUCCCUCUCUCUCACCCUCUCUGUGUGCCACUCUCUCUGAGAUUUGAAGGUAAGUUAUUAUUUCCUGUUAUCAAUCAUGGGGAUGUUACGAUUUCUAUUUAUUUCUGCGGUGGCCAAUAAAAUCUGACAAGAAGUUGUUAUCCACCUCCUUCCAUGAUGGCGAACCUCCAACUAUUGUUUCUUUUCCGGUAGGAUAUGCAUUUGAUCCAAUCCAUGUCUUGGCUUCUUUUUGAUGUGUGUAUUGCUAUGUUCUUCUUCCAGGUAUUGUUCAAUCCAUCAGUAGCUAGCGGAUGUCGUGCCGUGAUUAAGAUUUGCCACCUUCCUUUGCUACAUCGCUUAGUUUUAUGGGCCAUUCUUAGAAUACUAUGUGCUUGCUCUUUUUGGCUGUGGCAUGUGAAUAUGAUGCUUACCAACAUUAUUGUAGAAUUAGUUUCUCGGUGAUGUAAAACUUAUAGCUAUUAAAGGAAGCCCUUGGUUUGUAU
rnacentral:lncRNA from 1 species